AGCAGCGUGGCUCAGUGGAAAGAGCCUGGGCUUUGGAGUCAGAAGUCAUGGGUUUGAAUCCCUGCUCUGCCA
rfam:Ornithorhynchus anatinus chromosome 1, whole genome shotgun sequence.